GAUGAAGAACGUAGCGAAAUGCGAUACGUAAUGUGAAUUGCAGAAUUCAGUGAAUUAUCGAGUCUUUGAACGCACAUUGCGCCCCCUGGUAUUCCGGGGGGCAUGCCUGUCCGAGCGUCAUUGCUGCCCUCAAGCACGGCUUGUGUGUUGGGCCUCCGUCCUCCUCCCGGGGGACGGGCCCGAAAGGCAGCGGCGGCACCGCGUCCGGUCCUCGAGCGUAUGGGGCUUCGUCACCCGCUCUUGUAGGCCCGGCCGGCGCUUGCCGACACAUCAAUCUUUUUUCCAGGUUGACCUCGGAUCAGGUAGGGAUACCCGCUGAACUUAAGCAUAUCAUAAGCGGAGGA
rnacentral:misc_RNA from 1 species